UACAUGCAAGUCGAGCGAACAGACAAGGAGCUUGCUCCUUUGACGUUAGCGGCGGACGGGUGAGUAACACGUGGGUAACCUACCUAUAAGACUGGGAUAACUUCGGGAAACCGGAGCUAAUACCGGAUAAUAUUUCGAACCGCAUGGUUCGAUAGUGAAAGAUGGUUUUGCUAUCACUUAUAGAUGGACCCGCGCCGUAUUAGCUAGUUGGUAAGGUAACGGCUUACCAAGGCGACGAUACGUAGCCGACCUGAGAGGGUGAUCGGCCACACUGGAACUGAGACACGGUCCAGACUCCUACGGGAGGCAGCAGUAGGGAAUCUUCCGCAAUGGGCGAAAGCCUGACGGAGCAACGCCGCGUGAGUGAUGAAGGUCUUCGGAUCGUAAAACUCUGUUAUUAGGGAAGAACAUACGUGUAAGUAACUAUGCACGUCUUGACGGUACCUAAUCAGAAAGCCACGGCUAACUACGUGCCAGCAGCCGCGGUAAUACGUAGGUGGCAAGCGUUAUCCGGAAUUAUUGGGCGUAAAGCGCGCGUAGGCGGUUUUUUAAGUCUGAUGUGAAAGCCCACGGCUCAACCGUGGAGGGUCAUUGGAAACUGUAAAACUUGAGUGCAGAAGAGGAAAGUGGAAUUCCAUGUGUAGCGGUGAAAUGCGCAGAGAUAUGGAGGAACACCAGUGGCGAAGGCGACUUUCUGGUCUGUAACUGACGCUGAUGUGCGAAAGCGUGGGGAUCAAACAGGAUUAGAUACCCUGGUAGUCCACGCCGUAAACGAUGAGUGCUAAGUGUUAGGGGGUUUCCGCCCCUUAGUGCUGCAGCUAACGCAUUAAGCACUCCGCCUGGGGAGUACGACCGCAAGGUUGAAACUCAAAGGAAUUGACGGGGACCCGCACAAGCGGUGGAGCAUGUGGUUUAAUUCGAAGCAACGCGAAGAACCUUACCAAAUCUUGACAUCCUUUGACAACUCUAGAGAUAGAGCCUUCCCCUUCGGGGGACAAAGUGACAGGUGGUGCAUGGUUGUCGUCAGCUCGUGUCGUGAGAUGUUGGGUUAAGUCCCGCAACGAGCGCAACCCUUAAGCUUAGUUGCCAUCAUUAAGUUGGGCACUCUAAGUUGACUGCCGGUGACAAACCGGAGGAAGGUGGGGAUGACGUCAAAUCAUCAUGCCCCUUAUGAUUUGGGCUACACACGUGCUACAAUGGACAAUACAAAGGGCAGCGAAACCGCGAGGUCAAGCAAAUCCCAUAAAGUUGUUCUCAGUUCGGAUUGUAGUCUGCAACUCGACUACAUGAAGCUGGAAUCGCUAGUAAUCGUAGAUCAGCAUGCUACGGUGAAUACGUUCCCGGGUCUUGUACACACCGCCCGUCACACCACGAGAGUUUGUAACACCCGAAGCCGGUGGAGUAACCAUUUGGAGCUA
rnacentral:rRNA from 1 species